GAUCAUGGCUCAGGAUGAACGCUGGCGGCGUGCCUAAUACAUGCAAGUCGAGCGAAUGGAUUGAGAGCUUGCUCUCAAGAAGUUAGCGGCGGACGGGUGAGUAACACGUGGGUAACCUGCCCAUAAGACUGGGAUAACCCCGGAAACCGGGGCUAAUACCGGAUAAUAUUUUGAACUGCAUGGUUCGAAAUUGAAAGGCGGCUUCGGCUGUCACUUAUGGAUGGACCCGCGUCGCAUUAGCUAGUUGGUGAGGUAACGGCGCACCAAGGCAACGAUGCGUAGCCGACCUGAGAGGGUGAUCGGCCACACUGGGACUGAGACACGGCCCAGACUCCUACGGGAGGCAGCAGUAGGGAAUCUUCCGCAAUGGACGAAAGUCUGACGGAGCAACGCCGCGUGAGUGAUGAAGGCUUUCGGGUCGUAAAACUCUGUUGUUAGGGAAGAACAAGUGCUAGUUGAAUAAGCUGGCACCUUGACGGUACCUAACCAGAAAGCCACGGCUAACUACGUG
rnacentral:rRNA from 1 species